rnacentral:rRNA from 1 species
UACAGAGGGUGCGAGCGUUAAUCGGAAUUACUGGGCGUAAAGCGCGCGUAGGCGGCUUUGCAAGUCGGGUGUGAAAUCCCCAGGCUUAACCUGGGAACUGCAUUCGAGACUGCAUUGCUAGAGUAUGGGAGAGGGAAGUGGAAUUUCCGGUGUAGCGGUGAAAUGCGUAGAUAUCGGAAGGAACACCAGUGGCGAAGGCGACUUCCUGGCCCGUUACUAACACUGAGGCGCGAAAGCGUGGGGAGCGAACAGG